CCUACGGGUGGCAGCAGUGAGGAAUAUUGGUCAAUGGACGCAAGUCUGAACCAGCCAUGCCGCGUGCAGGAAGACGGCUCUAUGAUUUGUAAACUGCUUUUGUACAAGGGUAAACCUGAAUACGUGUAUUCAGCUGAAAGUACUUUACGAAUAAGGAUCGGCUAACUCCGUGCCAGCAGCCGCGGUAAUACGGAGGAUCCAAGCGUUAUCCGGAUUUAUUGGGUUUAAAGGGUGCGUAGGCGGAUUGAUAAGUUAGAGGUGAAAUGUCCGGGCUGAACUCGGGAACUGCCUCUAAUACUGGUGGUCUAGAGAAUGGAUGAGGUAGGCGGAAUGUGUGGUGUAGCGGUGAAAUGCUUAGAGAUCAUACAGAACACCGAUUGCGAAGGCAGCUUACCAAGCUAUAUCUGACGUUGAAGCACGAAAGCGUGGGGAGCAAACAGGAUUAGAUACCCCAGUAGUC
rnacentral:rRNA from 1 species